AGUGAACGCUGGCGGCGUGCUUAACAAAUGCAAGUCGAACGAGAACGGAUUAUAGCUUGCUAUAAUUGUCAGCUAUGUGGCGCACGGGUGAGUAAUGUAUAGGUAAUAUGCCUCUUACUAAGGGAUAACAAUUGGAAACGAUUGCUAAUACCUUAUAUUACUUUUUAUCAAAAGAUAAAAAGGGAAAGAUUUAUUGGUAAGAGAUUAGCCUGUAUUGUAUCAGUUAGUUGGUGGGGUAAUGGCCUACCAAGACGAUGACGCAUAACUGGUGUGAGAGUAUGGUCAGUCACACUGGAACUGAGACACGGUCCAGAAUCCUACGGGAGGCAGCAGUUUGGAAUAUUGCACAAUGGACGAAAGUCUGAUGCAGCAACGCCGCGUGGAGGAUGACACAUUUCGGUGCGUAAACUCCUUUUAUAUAAGAAGAUAAUGACGGUAUUAUAUGAAUAAGCACCGGCUAACUCCGUGCCAGCAGCCGCGGUAA
rnacentral:rRNA from 1 species